AUUGAACGCUGGCGGCAUGCCUUACACAUGCAAGUCGAACGGCAGCACGGGAGCAAUCCUGGUGGCGAGUGGCGAACGGGUGAGUAAUAUAUCGGAACGUGCCCAGUCGUGGGGGAUAACGUAGCGAAAGCUACGCUAAUACCGCAUACGAUCUACGGAUGAAAGCGGGGGACUCGCAAGAGCCUCGCGCGAUUGGAGCGGCCGAUAUCAGAUUAGGUAGUUGGUGGGGUAAAGGCUCACCAAGCCAACGAUCUGUAGCUGGUCUGAGAGGACGACCAGCCACACUGGAACUGAGACACGGUCCAGACUCCUACGGGAGGCAGCAGUGGGGAAUUUUGGACAAUGGGCGCAAGCCUGAUCCAGCAAUGCCGCGUGCAGGAUGAAGGCCUU
rnacentral:rRNA from 1 species